CCCCCCCCCCCCCCCACAAUGUUUGAGUGUUAUUAUGAUUAAUGUGUGGAUUAAUGCAGUAUAUUGCAAGCAAUGUUAUAUUCGUUUAAGGUAGCUAAUGGCGCAACGCUAGCUAGAAACUGGUCAUAGCUAGCUCUGACCAGAGCGUCACCAUGGUAACCACUGAGGGGACUGACUCGAGUUCGUUAGCUUACACGUUUUCUCAGUAUGUCUCAUAAUUAUUACUCAUAUAAACCGAAUAAACUUAUUAAUAUGUUAGGUUGGAUGGCUACAUAUUCUGUAUUUAAAGUAAAGUUAGCAUAUUGUGUUGAGCUAGCUAACUAGCUAGUUGUAGGCUAGUUGAAAUGACAUUGCUAGGUAUGAUAUAUAUUUUAUACAGUUCUAUACAGCAAACGUGAAUUGAUGUUACAAAUCUGUAGCAGUUUUAUUUAUUUUCUAGUGGGGUUUAAAUGAUUUGAUGUUAUGCUGCGAUCGCUAUUAUUUACAGAACAUGAAUUGCACUCUACGUUAGUCCUAAUAAUAAUUACUUAAACAAGGACAUGUACAGUAUUGCAUUGAUGCUGAUACGGGCCGGAUCAUGGAUCAUGGAGAAUAGAGCAGCACUUUUACCAGAUGUUCAACUUCCUUCAGUCAAACUCACUGAAGCACAACACACAGCACUGAAUCUACAGCUAAACACACUCUCUCAUCACACUGAUCAUCACUAUUAACUCUAAUAAAAGAACACAAGGUCCAAAACUCAGCUUUAUUUCAGCAAAAACUACAGGAAGAGCAACAGGACAGUGAAGAGAGUAAAGACAGAAAUGUCAGCGUUGUGUAGAAUUGAAACUCUUGUAGAUGGAUCAGAAGCAGCUCAGUGUUGAAUUCUAUCUUGGAGCUGUUAGACUUCACACUGACUCUUUCUGAACGUGACCGGAUGAUAGCCGCAGUCAUGGGAGACCGUACAGACAAACUGCUCCCCAUUUUCCCAGAGGUCUUUGCUGAGGGUCAGGGUGCUGCUGCGGCUGUAACGGCCGUUCUUCUGUUCUUCUGCGCUGGUCAGAACCCUGUCCUUCACCUCUGAGCCGUCCACUGUCCAGCUCACCAGCGCCCCCUGUGGAGAGUAGCCAGACAGCAGGCAGAGCAGCGAGGCCGAUCCCUCAGACAGCUGCAGAGGAGACGGAGGGAGCAGAGACACGGAGGGCUUCACCGUGG